rnacentral:lncRNA from 7 species
CUCUUGACCUCUACGCGCUUGGCGUGCGGACAACGGGCAGCUGUGCGCGCACUUUCCGGGUCUUGGCCUCACGGUGACACUGGAUUCGAACCCCGUCGGGCCGGCAGCCGACAGCAGGUUAGGAUGCUAUAGGUUGUGCGCGCCCUUUGCGUGCUCGGGACCCGGCAGGAUUCAGGGGCCCCGUGUCCGCGGCUGCCACUUAUUUGUGAGUCGGUGUCUGCGUGUGGGCACCACGUGAGUGCCGCGUCCGUGGCGGCCAGGGGAAGGCGUUGGAUCCCGUGGGGCUGGAGUUAAGGAUUUUGGAUUGCAAAGGACUUUUGUUUUAACAAGUCUGUGAGAAUGAUGAUUCCUUUUGCCAGGCGGUGGUGACGCUCGCCUUUAAAUCCCGGCACUGGGGAGGUGGGGAGGCGGGGAGGCGGGGAGGCAGGCGGAUCUGAGUUUGAGGCCAGCCUGGUCUCCAGGACUGCCAGGGCUACACAGAGAAACUCUGUAGCAGAAAAACCAAAAUAAUAAAAUGGUUGCUUUUUACAACUCUUACAUGGACUGCUAGGUAGAUACUGUUUACUCGUUUGGAAUGAUCGCACAGUAGGGUGAACGUUGUAACAUUUACGUGUGACAUACACAACAUUUAAUAUUAGAGCAACUAUAUCACUUCUUUUUAUAGACCUCCAGUUGUGAUUUGUUGGACUUGAGUGUUUGACUUAACUGUUUACAAAACCGAAUCAAAAGAUGUGCUAUAUAUAGAUUCUUUGGUAUUUGCAAAUGAAUUCAAGACAUUUCUGCUAAUGGAAGCGGAAUCCAGCAGUCCUGUAGUUUAUAUGAUGUCUACUUUAGAGCAAGGUAUAUUUGCUGACAUUUUUUACCUCAGAUGUUUGGAAUUCUCCCUUGAUAGCCUACGUGGAUGCCUUUCUUCCGGAGUCACAUAGCUAAUUCAGGAGGGAAAUUCCAGGAAUGGGCCUGACCAAAAAGUCCAUCUUUUGGUCAGUAUUUAGUAUCUAAUAAAGCUUGCUUUAAAUUUA